rnacentral:lncRNA from 1 species
GGCGGCGGCUGGGAGCCGUCGUGUUCUGGAAUUAGGGCACAGGAGAGGGACGCUGGGCGCCCAAGGGUGUCAAGGUGACACAAUCCCAGGCUGGUUCUUCUCAUUAACGUAAAAGGACUUUUAUAGUCCGGGUUACAGACUCCUGACUCAACACGGAUAGAAACUCUUCUACAGAUCCAUCUAGUAGAUCUUUUAACUAAUAAUAACUAUCUUUCCUACUUAACCUCCUAUGAUAGCCAUGCUGGCUGAAACAAGCCUGACGGCUGCCUAGUCCUUUCCUAAAACCAAUCAGCCACCUGUGGGUUUCCUUUUGUAGAUAUUACCAACCAUAACACUAAUAGAAAGCAGCCAGCCUUAAUUUCUAGAAAGCCACAGUGAUCUACUGGUUUUUUUUUUAUUUCGGCUGAGCUCUGCAUGUCUCUGUCUGCUCUGCUUUGCCUGCAUUUUUGCGGGCUGGGCCGCCCCUCGAAAAUAUCCAGAUUGUUCAGAUUAAUCGGGUCUAAAAUGGGCACGGGCCGCGGUCUGCCUCAAUCAUACAUAUAAGAAAUUUUACUUAUAAUAUACUCUCUCUGUCUCAAAAUAAACACGUAUCGCACUUUAAAAGUCAAAUUUUUAAAAAAUUUGACUAAAUUUAUAUAAAAAUAUACUAAUAUUUAUAUUGUAUAAUAAGUAUCAUUAGAUUGGCUAUGUACUAUACUUUUAUAGUAAACUUAUUUGAAGAUAUAAACAUUGGUAUUAUUUUAUACGGGUUUACAAACAAGAUGUGUAUUUAUUUUGAGACGAAGGAAGUAUAUCUACCUUAGCGGAGCGCUCUAACCAAGAUUAGCAAUUAUUAUGAUGACAGUAUGGGAUAUAUUCUUCUCUUCGUAAGUUUAUCCUUGACUUGCUUUUACUUACCACAUUUAAGCUUCAAUGUUGCUCUCUUUCACAUAGUUUUUACCUUUCCCAUAUUAGCGUAGGCUAGUUGGAUCUAGUUUAUGGUUUUUCUAGUGAAAUUCAAGUAGAGCCCUAGCACUACUAUAACAAACUUAACCGAGGUGGUCGCCUAGAAGUUGAAGCUUUCAUUAAUCCAUAUUAACGAAGGCAGCCAAAUGCAUGCCUCCAAAAAAAAAUUAAAAAAGAAAAAAAAAGAAACGCCCAUCCACGAGCCUAUUGAGCCCAUCAAUGGGCCGUGGGCUCCCAGCCGCCGCUAGGGCAUGGCUACCUACAUAUCGCUAGGGGCCAAGCCGCCCCGGAUCCACCGCCAGGGACGCUGCCCCUGGAUCCACUAUUGGGGCGUGCUAAUCUACAUUCGCCCAUGGGAGGCGUGGCCCCUGGAUCCGCCGCCACUUGAUUUGCCAAAGCACUACAAGAUGUGUAUUUAUUUUGAGACGAAGGAAGUAUAUCUACCUUAGCGGAGCGCUCUAACCAAGACUAGCAAUUAUUUUGAUGACAUUAUGGGAUAUAUUCUUCUCUUCAGAAGUUUAUCCUUGACUUGCUUUUACUUACCACAUUUAAGCUUCCAUAUUGCUCUUUUUCACAUAGUUUUUACCUUUCCCAUAUUAGAGUAUGCUAGUUGAUAGGACUAGGUUGCAAGACAUAGCACUCUAGAAGGAAAAUUAAGAUCACAUCAUGCUAUACUAGUUUAUGGUUUUUCUAGUGAAAUUCAAGUAGAGCCCUAGCACUACUACAACAAACUUAACCGAGGUGGUCGCCUAGAAGUUGAAGUUUUCAUUAAUCCAUAUUAACAAAGGCAGCCAAAUGCACACCUCCGAAAAUAAAUUAAAAAAGAAAAAAAAAGAAAAGAAAAGCCCAUCCAUGUGGGGGUAUAAACCCCUAUACCCUUACGGCUAGACUUCGGCCAGGAGGCUUGGCCCGUUACGAGACGAGUACAAGGCUUGAUCCGACAACCUGGAGUUUCGCGCAAGGAAACGAGAUGUGGAGAUCAAGCAGGAUUCUAGUCGGUUAGAAUAGGAAUUGAUAUCGAAUUAUCCAUGGCAAUUGUAACCGACUAGGAUUAGUUUCUAGAUCUGUAACCCUGCCCUCCAGACUAUAUAAGGAGGGGCAAGGGGCCCCCCUAGGACAGAUUAUCUCUCAACACAAUCCAAUACAACCAGACGCAGGACGUAGGUAUUACGCCAACUCGGCGGCCGAACCUGGAUAAAAAGCUUGUCCGUGUCUUGCGUCACCAUCGAGUUCGUAGUUUGCGCACCGUCUACCGAUAAACUACUACCGUGGGUAUACCCCA